rnacentral:rRNA from 1 species
AGAGUUUGAUCCUGGCUCAGAUUGAACGCUGGCGGCAUGCUUUACACAUGCAAGUCGAGCGGCAGCGCGGGGGCAACCUUGGCGGCGAGCGGCGGACGGGUGAGUAAUGCAUCGGAACGUAUCCCGUAGUGGGGGACAACCCAGCGAAAGCUGGGCUAAUACCGCAUAUGCUCUACGGAGGAAAGCAGGGGACCUGGAAACGGGCCUUGUGCUAUGGGAGCGGCCGAUGUCCGAUUAGCUAGUUGGUGGGGUAAAGGCUUACCAAGGCGACGAUCGGUAGCUGGUCUGAGAGGAUGAUCAGCCACACUGGGACUGAGACACGGCCCAGACUCCUACGGGAGGCAGCAGUGGGGAAUUUUGGACAAUGGGGGCAACCCUGAUCCAGCCAUGCCGCGUGCGGGAAGAAGGCCUUCGGGUUGUAAACCGCUUUUGGUCGGGAAGAAAGGGUUCGUCCUAAUAGGGCGGGCUGUUGACGGUACCGGCAGAAUAAGCACCGGCUAACUACGUGCCAGCAGCCGCGGUAAUACGUAGGGUGCGAGCGUUAAUCGGAAUUACUGGGCGUAAAGCGUGCGCAGGCGGUAAGUUAAGUCUGAUGUGAAAGCCCCGGGCUCAACCUGGGAAUGGCAUUGGAAACUGGCUUGCUAGAGUGUGGCAGAGGGGGGUGGAAUUCCGCGUGUAGCAGUGAAAUGCGUAGAGAUGCGGAGGAACACCGAUGGCGAAGGCAGCCCCCUGGGCCGACACUGACGCUCAGGCACGAAAGCGUGGGGAGCAAACAGGAUUAGAUACCCUAGUAGUCC